UUCGUCACUAAAUAACUGUCUUCUGUUUGGUGAAAUUCAGUAUUGAUGCUGCAAUGGAUGACGGCACUCUUGGACCACUGGUUAAUGACGACCACAUUAACCCCAACUGUAAAAUGAAGAGACUCGUCGUGGAGGGAAGGCCACAUUUGUGUCUUUUUGCUUUAAGAGACGUAACACCUGGAGAGGAGAUUACGUAUGAUUGUGGAGAUGGUGAUUGUCCCUGGAGGAGUGAGUGACUGUUUUGCUGUUUUCGGUGACAAAAAGUGGAAUGGAAGCAGACAACAAUCAUCUGGAGUCAGGUGGUGCCUCUGGCGAUGAUCAGCAUUGCACCCAGCAUUCACAGCACAAAUCUGCUUUUGGCAUCCAGGUGACAAACAGUGGAGUGGAAGGAGACGGUAAUCGUCUGGAGUCAGAAGGUGCCUCUAGUGAUGAUCACCUUUGCACUCAGCAUUCACAGCACAAAUCUACUUUCUGCAGUCAGGUGAAAAAAAAGUGGAAUGGAAGGAAACGGCCAUCAUCUGGAGUCAGAAGGUGCCUCUAGAGAUGAUCACCACUGCACCCAGCAUUCACAGCACGAGUCUACUUUCUCCAGUCAGGUAUGAAACUGCUCAUUUUCAUAUAUUUUUAACAUGGUAAUUGUUAAGUCCCCACAAUGUACAGUAUAGUCUACCAGUUUUGGCAAAAGAUUCAUUUUAAUCGAUACAUGAAGUGGUGCCCCUCCCCCACGAUUUAAAAAGCCUUACACAAAAUGCUGUAAAUAAACAGCAUCUUUAUGUUUAUUUUUGUUUAGGAUCAUUUUUUACUUUCUACACGUUUAUGCUUUUCGGCCCGGCUUUAGUUGCUACAACACUUACACUUUUGGGCUUCAUUUUGACUUAGGGUUGUUUUCAGUGACAAGAAGUGUAAAGCAAGAUGGAAGUCAAUCAAAAAGUCGAUUACAUUGGGCAAAAGCUGUCCAUUACUUCGAAAUCCUCUUCAUCAGUGGUAAAGUUAGUGAUUUUUCUUAUUGU